rnacentral:lncRNA from 1 species
CUUUCAGAGGGGCGUACACAGCACCGCGGCCGUGUGCCUGUGAUCUCCUUCUGAGUUUGAAAAAGAAGAUCCUAGACACCGAGCCAAAUAUGUUUGCAUAAACCGGGAGACUUGUGGCUCUAUUUUGUAACAGCUUGGCGCAGGGCAGCUGGUUUGGAGAUGUCUCUGUUCUUCCCUUGGUGGGGGUGCCGGAAAAAAUGUGCUGCCUGGGCGAUCGAGGUUGGGGCAAAAGCGUUGCAAAGGAAAAGGUGGGAGGACUCUACUUUCACAUUUCCCAAAAGAGUUUUACCAUAAGACUAUUUCUGGAUUGUUCUAACGUGAGGAUAUUGGGAGCAUUUUGAAAAUACUGGAGGAAAAGCUGUCACUGGGCGAUUUAAAUCCGAGACAGAUUCACUCUGUCAUCCAAGCU